GACGAACGCUGGCGGCGUGCUUAACACAUGCAAGUCGAACGGAAAGGCCCUGCUUUUGUGGGGUGCUCGAGUGGCGAACGGGUGAGUAACACGUGAGUAACCUGCCCUUGACUUUGGGAUAACUUCAGGAAACUGGGGCUAAUACCGGAUAGGAGCUCCUGCUGCAUGGUGGGGGUUGGAAAGUUUCGGCGGUUGGGGAUGGACUCGCGGCUUAUCAGCUUGUUGGUGGGGUAGUGGCUUACCAAGGCUUUGACGGGUAGCCGGCCUGAGAGGGUGACCGGCCACAUUGGGACUGAGAUACGGCCCAGACUCCUACGGGAAGCAGCAGUGGGGAAGAUUGCACAAUGGGCGGAAGCCUGAUGCAGCAACGCCGCGUGCGGGAUGACGGCCUUCGGGUUGGAAACCGCUUUCGCUCAUGACGAAGCUUUGUGUGACGGUAGUGGGUAAAGAAGCACCGGCUAACUACGUG
rnacentral:rRNA from 1 species